GGCCGGCUAGCUCAGUUGGUUAGAGCGUGGUGCUAAUACUUCUCGUUAACGCCAAGGUCCUGGGUUCGACCCCCAUGUUGGCCA